UUAUAAUAUUCGAGAGAAAUAUAUAUAUAUAAAUACAUAUAAUAAUAUGUAAUUGCAUAAUAAUAUGUUUCUCUAUCGAGAAUCAGGUUAUACCGUAAGCCGCCAUUUUUUUCCUCCCCGUUUUUUUAGUUUUCCCGCCAAAAAACUUGACCAAUGUUAUCACCACCUUCACUUCACCCUAUCUUAUAAUCACAACUGUUUAUUUCUUUCAUUUCACUGAUAUAUUCCUCGAAUUGAACAUUCCUCACUCGAUAAUGAACACUUUUCUUUUUCUUCCUGGUCAUUCUUUUUAUCAAUUACUAAGAUGUCUACUUACUUACUACCACCACCGGCCUAGAAGUAUGUAAGAUCGCAAGUGAAUGUUAUAUUUAGUUUGAAAUCAAUGUAACCGAUCGAUCGUUCGAUUUACGAUAAAAAUAUAUAAGAUAUAUAAACGGAAAAGUAGUGAUAGAACCUCGAAGAAGAGAUCCAUGUCCGUUGACCGGCAGCAUGGCACUGAGCUCUUAAGCGCAGGCUCAAUGAAACCAGCAAUCGCCAGGAAUUGCCUCGAAUUGGCCCAAUCAAACUACCCCCAUUCCGUGUGUAUACGCGUAUAUUAACUGCUAAUUUCAUCGGCGCUAAUUAGCGAACGCGCGCGCCCGAGCUCGCGCGCGAGCGCGUUCGCGUUCCUUAUUCAAGCAAAGCUUUUACUUUGCUCGAAGAUUCCACUUAUCCGAUCACUCGUUUAAGAUUUAUUCGUCGAUCGUGAAACUCUUUUCAUCCUUUUAACUCUCUCUCUCUCUCUCUUUCUCAAAUGAUUGACUCUACAAUGACAACCCUUGCCGACACGCGUCAGCGGCCAUCUUUGUUUUUAUUCUCACUUCGAACUUUUCGAUAAUUUUUUCUCUUCGUUACUUAACAUUAGCGUCAUAAUUAUCGAUUAAAAUGAAAUGUCAUCGGAGAAUUAUUUCUAAGUUGUCAAAAGUAUGUUCAUACGUGAUCGUAGAUAGAAAUGAAAUUCAACCCUUUCGAGGUUAUCCGUGUCGGCCGAUGUUUGCGAACGUCUCGUUUAAUUAUAGACGUAGUAUACACAGAGACAUUGUAUCAUUCUUUCGGUUGGUCCAAGUCCGCGAAUUCCGUUCGAUAUAAAUGUAAACCGAUUGAAAGAAUGACAGAAAGAAAGUGUGUGAGAGAAAGAGACAAAUAUAUGAAUGAGAGAGAGAAACUUAGCGACAGACAGCGAGAAGUUGGUAACUUAACUGGCCUAAAUGGGUUUAACUCGAUGUGAUUUUGCUGGUGAACCACUAAAUUGAACGAAUACGAACUAAACCGAACUCAACUAAGCUAAUCAUAUCACAUUACUAGCGUUAUUAGCCGAGCGACGAUAUAAGUGAAGGUCCGGUGAUGGCUCGCUGCAGUACCGGGUCGCCUCCUGCACUGACCCUCCGCGCGUCUCUCCUUCCAUUUUUUGGGGAAUUUUAUUUGUUUUCUUCUUUCUAAUUGUUUCUAUCUUCCGUCUUUCUUGUAUUUUUUUUUUCUUCCUUUUUUUCUUAAACCGAUUCGAUCCGAAUCACCUGCGACGACCAACUAUCGGAAAAUCUCUGUACUUAUAUAUAUAUAAAGAUACCGAUUUGUUUUGGAUCAUUUCAACGAUUAGUAAGAAAGAGGAUAUAAGAGUAAGAGAAAGGGAAAGGAAAGAAAAAGAAAAAUAAAAGAAAGAAAGAAAGAAAGAAAGAAAAAAGAGAGACAUACGCAUCAGUUAGAUCUUAUUCCUUCGAAGAUCUUCAAAUUUGUGAACAACUUCGUGCGUUUCGCGCCACUCCGAAAUCAGCCGAACAUGGCCGAAGGUAAACGACAUACUUUUAAACAGAUUGAAAAUACAUCUGAUUCCCAUCAUACCUGAGUACUUAGACAAAUUUUCUGGUAUUAAGAGGAGAAUCAUAAGACUUUCAAUGGAUUAUCACACACAUCAGCAGCUUU